GGCGAGUGAAGCGGCAAAAGCUCAAAUUUGAAAUCUGGUACCUUCGGUGCCCGAGUUGUAAUUUGGAGAGGGCAACUUUGGGGCCGUUCCUUGUCUAUGUUCCUUGGAACAGGACGUCAUAGAGGGUGAGAAUCCCGUGUGGCGAGGAGUGCGGUUCUUUGUAAAGUGCCUUCGAAGAGUCGAGUUGUUUGGGAAUGCAGCUCUAAGUGGGUGGUAAAUUCCAUCUAAAGCUAAAUAUUGGCGAGAGACCGAUAGCGAACAAGUACAGUGAUGGAAAGAUGAAAAGAACUUUGAAAAGAGAGUGAAAAAGUACGUGAAAUUGUUGAAAGGGAAGGGCAUUUGAUCAGACAUGGUGUUUUGUGCCCUCUGCUCCUUGUGGGUAGGGGAAUCUCGCAUUUCACUGGGCCAGCAUCAGUUUUGGUGGCAGGAUAAAUCCAUAGGAAUGUAGCUUGCCUCGGUAAGUAUUAUAGCCUGUGGGAAUACUGCCAGCUGGGACUGAGGACUGCGACGUAAGUCAAGGAUGCUGGCAUAAU
rnacentral:rRNA from 1 species